UACGAAGGGGGCGAGCGUUGUUCGGAAUUACUGGGCGUAAAGGGCGCGCAGGCGGCCUUAGAAGUCAGAUGUGAAAGCCCCGGGCUCAACCUGGGAAUGGCCGUUGAAACUGGCGAACUGGAGUGUGGCAGAGGGGGGUGGAAUUCCGCGUGUAGCAGUGAAAUGCGUAGAGAUGCGGAGGAACACCGAUGGCGAAGGCAGCCCCCUGGGCUGACACUGACGCUCAGGCACGAAAGCGUGGGGAGCAAACAGG
rnacentral:rRNA from 1 species